rnacentral:rRNA from 1 species
CCCCUAGAUGUUCUGGGCCGCACGCGCGCUACACUAAACAGUUCAACAAGUCUUAACCUUGGCCGAUAGGUCUGGGUAAUCUUUGAACGCUGUUCGUGAUUGGGAUAGACCUUUGCAAUUAUGGGUCUUCAACGAGGAAUUCCUAGUAAACGCAAGUCAUCAGCUUGCAUUGAUUACGUCCCUGCCCUUUGUACACACCGCCCGUCGCACCUACCGAUUGAAUGGUCCGGUGAAAUCUUCGGAUCUGAGAGAUGUCUGAUUAAUUUCGGACGCCUUUUGGAAAAGUUGUUUAAACCUUACCAUUUAGAGGAAGGUGAAGUCGUAACA